rnacentral:RNase_P_RNA from 1 species
CGAGUCAGCCGGGUGAUCGCGGGCGCAGGGCCGCAAGGCCGCGUCCGAGGAAAGUCCGGGCUGCGCAGGGCACGGUGCUGGGUAACGCCCAGCGGGGGCGACCCCCGGGAAAGUGCCACAGAAACAUACCGCCGGCGGGUCGGCGCGCGCGGCGUCGCGCCGCGCGGCGGCCGGCCGCCGGUAAGGGUGAAACGGUGCGGUAAGAGCGCACCAGCGGCCAGGCGACUGGCCGGCUAGGCAAACCCCACCGGCAGCAAGGCCGAGUAGGAGGGCGAUGAGGUGGCCCGCUGAGCCCUCGGGUUGGCCGCUCGAGGCCCCGGGCAACCGGGUGCCCCAGAUAGAUGAUCACCCUCGACAGAACCCGGCUUACAGGCUGACUCGGCCC